CUCAGACGAACGCUGGCGGCGUGGAUUAGGCAUGCAAGUCGAGCGACGGACAGUCUUCGGACUGUUACGGAGCGGCGAACGGGUGAGUAACACGUGAAUAACCUGCCCAUAUGUUCCGGAUAAUUGGUCGAAAGACCUUGUAAUACGGGGGAGGAUCGGUCUUUGGCAUCUUAGACCGAGGGAAGUCGCAAGACGCAUAUGGAGGGGUUCGCGGAUUAUCAGGUAGUUGGUGGGGUAACGGCCUACCAAGCCUACGACGAUUAGCUGGUCUGAGAGGAUGGUCAGCCACAUUGGAACUGAGACACUGUCCAGACUCCUACGGGAGGCUGCAGUCGAGAAUCUUGGUCAAUGCACGAAAGUGUGAACCAGCGACGCCGCGUGAAGGAUGAAGGCCUCUGGGUCGUAAACUUCUUUUACGGGAGAAGAACACAAUGACGGUUCCCGUGAAUAAGCCACG
rnacentral:rRNA from 1 species